CGCACACACAGACUCUCCCCCCAGCUAUCAGAGCGGGCUUCCCCCUCCCACCGCCCUCGCUCCCCUCCCUCCUCCUCCUCCUCCUCUCCCAUGCUCCCGCUCCGCUGUGGAGGGGAGGGAGAGAUCCCCCGCUUCACGAUUCUCCCCUGGAAACCCCAGCUGCUGGCUAGACCGAGCGGUUACUCGGGCAGCCUGCUCGCACACCGUAAUGGCGCUCCCUGCAUCUAAGGCUACCAUAAUCCACAAAGAAGGGACGCGACGAGGCGAGGCGCUGCACGGCAUGGUGAGAACGUGUCCGACGGCGGAGACGGAAGGACCUUCAUUUAAGAAAAUCUUUGGCUUCUACCCUGAGAAAAACGGGAGAACUUGUCUCGCGGACAAACCGCCGUUUAACUGACGGAGAGGGGGAUGGGAACGCUGUGGGAAUCCAUGAAGAAUGGCUGUAUUUGCUUGAUGCCUCUUAUAUCGGCGAUCGCGAAAACCUACACAAUGAUCCCGUGAGUGAUAGCUUCGUAGGACAAGAGAACCUGGGACAUCUUCACUCACACCCACUGCGUUCAUUCAGGAGGAGGAGUGCCCAAGGAUGGAGGAAGAGCAGAUAAGUACCCACAAGGACGCACAGAUCAGCAGGCUCAAUCUAGACGUCAUGACGCGCACACACACACAC
ensembl:lncRNA